AUUGAACGCUGGCGGCAGGCCUAACACAUGCAAGUCGAGCGGAUGAAGGGAGCUUGCUCCUGGAUUCAGCGGCGGACGGGUGAGUAAUGCCUAGGAAUCUGCCUGGUAGUGGGGGAUAACGUCCGGAAACGGGCGCUAAUACCGCAUACGUCCUGAGGGAGAAAGUGGGGGAUCUUCGGACCUCACGCUAUCAGAUGAGCCUAGGUCGGACUAGCUAGUUGGUGGGGUAAAGGCCUACCAAGGCGACGAUCCGUAACUGGUCUGAGAGGAUGAUCAGUCACACUGGAACUGAGACACGGUCCAGACUCCUACGGGAGGCAGCAGUGGGGAAUAUUGGACAAUGGGCGAAAGCCUGAUCCAGCCAUGCCGCGUGUGUGAAGAAGGUCUUCGGAUUGUAAAGCACUUUAAGUUGGGAGGGAGGGCAGUAAGUUAAUACCUUGCUGUUUUGACGUUACCAACAGAAUAAGCACCGGCUAACUUCGUG
rnacentral:rRNA from 1 species